rnacentral:rRNA from 1 species
CCCUACUGCUAUCGGGGUGGGUCUAAGACAUGCGAGUCGAGCGUCUCUAGCUAUGUUGAGACGCGGCGGACGGCUCAGUAACACGUGGCUAACCUACCCUCAGGACAAGGAUAAACCCGGGAAACUGGGGCUAAUACUCGAUAGGCGAAGGCGCCUGGAAUGGUUCUUCACCCAAAGGGCUUUAGAAACAUGCUUCUAAAGUCGCCUGGGGAUGGGGCCGCGUCCGAUCAGGUUGUUGGUGAGGUAACGGCUCACCAAGCCUAUAACCGGUACGGGCCGUGAGAGCGGUAGCCUGGAGAUGGGUACUGAGACAAGGACCCAGGCCCUACGGGGCGCAGCAGUCGCGAAAACUCCGCAAUGCACGAAAGUGUGACGGGGCUACCCCGAGUGCCAUCCGCUGAGGAUGGCUUCUCCUUGGUGUAACUAGCCAGGGGAAUAAGGAGAGGGCAAGACUGGUGUCAGCCSCCGCGGUAAUACCAGCUCUCCGAGUGGUAGGGAUGAUUAUUGGGCUUAAAGCGUCCGUAGCCUGCUUAGCAAGUCUCCUGUUAAAUUCAGCGACUUAAUCGUUGAGCCGCGGGAGAUACUACUAGGCUAGGAGGCGGUAGAGGUCGACGGUACUUCUGGGGUAGGGGUGAAAUCCUAUAAUCCCCGGGAGGACCACCAGUGGCGAAGGCUGUCGACUAGAACGCGCUCGACGGUGAGGGACGAAAGCUGGGGGAGCGAACCGGAUUAGAUACCCGGGUAGUCCCANCCGUAAACGAUGCGGGCUAGGUGUUGGAGUGGCUAUGUGCCACUUCAGUNCCNCAGGGAAGCCAUUAAGCCCNCCNCCUGGGGAGUACGNCCNCAAGGCUGAAACUUAAAGGAAUUGGCGGGGGANCACCNCAAGGCGUGAAGCUUGCGGUUCAAUUGGAUUCAACGCCGGGA